GACGAACGCUGGCGGCGUGCUUAACACAUGCAAGUCGAACGGAAAGGCCCUGCUUUUGUGGGGUGCUCGAGUGGCGAACGGGUGAGUAACACGUGAGUAACCUGCCCUUGACUUUGGGAUAACUUCAGGAAACUGGGGCUAAUACCGGAUAGGAGCUCCUGCUGCAUGGGGGGGGUUGGAAAGUUUCGGCGGUUGGGGAUGGACUCGCGGCUUAUCAGCUUGUUGGUGGGGUAGUGGCUUACCAAGGCUUUGACGGGUAGCCGGCCUGAGAGGGUGACCGGCCACAUUGGGACUGAGAUACGGACCAGACUCCUACGGGAGGCAGCAGUGGGGAAUAUUGCACAAUAGGCGGAAGCCUGAUGCAGCAACGCCGCGUGCGGGAUGACGGCCUUCGGGUUGUAAACCGCUUUGGAAUGUGACGAAGCGUGAGUGACGGUAAUGGGUAAAGAAGCACCGGCUAACUACGUG
rnacentral:rRNA from 1 species